rnacentral:rRNA from 1 species
UACGUAGGGGGCAAGCGUUGUCCGGAUUUAUUGGGCGUAAAGAGCGUGUAGGCGGCUGGGUAGGUCCGUUGUGAAAACUCGAGGCUCAACCUCGAGACGCCGAUGGAAACCCCCCAGCUAGAGUCCGGAAGAGGAGAGUGGAAUUCCUGGUGUAGCGGUGAAAUGCGUAGAGAUCAGGAAGAACAUCGGUGGCGAAGGCGCUCUGCUGGACCAUAACUGACACUCAGGGACGAAAGCUAGGGGAGCGAAUGGG